GAGAGUUAAACAGUACGUGAAAUUGUUGAAAGGGAAACGAUUGAAGUCAGUCAUACCAACGGGAAAUCAACCUCUUGAGUUUGGUCUCGUGGGUUUCGAAGAGUUUUAAAAGCCUUCGGAUUUUCGAGAUUGGGCUCUUCUGGUGUACUUUCUCGUACGGUUAGUCAACAUCGGUUUUGAAUGUCAUAAAAUGACUGGAGGAAUGUGGCUUCGAUCUCGUAUUGAAGUGUUAUAGCCUUUGGUAGAUGUGAUGUUUGAGAUCGAGGAUUGCAACGGAUACCCUUCUGGGCUAUUCGUCUGAUCUCUGAAACGUUGCCUUGAUGUCGAAAGCUUGCUUAUGAUGUUAGGGUAUUACGGUCAAAAGGUUAGAACGGAUUAAAUUCGUUAAGGAUGUUGACGUAAUGACUUUAAACGA
rnacentral:rRNA from 1 species